AUUGAACGCUGGCGGCAUGCCUUACACAUGCAAGUCGAACGGCAGCAUGAUCUAGCUUGCUAGAUUGAUGGCGAGUGGCGAACGGGUGAGUAAUACAUCGGAACGUGCCCUGUAGUGGGGGAUAACUAGUCGAAAGAUUAGCUAAUACCGCAUACGACCUGAGGGUGAAAGUGGGGGACCGCAAGGCCUCAUGCUAUAGGAGCGGCCGAUGUCUGAUUAGCUAGUUGGUGAGGUAAAGGCUCACCAAGGCGACGAUCAGUAGCUGGUCUGAGAGGACGAUCAGCCACACUGGGACUGAGACACGGCCCAGACUCCUACGGGAGGCAGCAGUGGGGAAUUUUGGACAAUGGGCGAAACCCUGAUCCAGCAAUGCCGCGUGUGUGAAGAAGGCCUUCGGGUUGUAAAGCACUUUUGUCCGGAAAGAAAUGGCUCUGGUUAAGACCUGGGGUCGAUGACGGUACCGGAAGAAUAAGGACCGGCUAACUACGU
rnacentral:rRNA from 1 species